CCUGAUGGGGCUGAGGUCGCUGACAGCAUUCCUGUGUCUGGUUGUGGUACUUGCUGUUGUCGUCGAGGCUACUGCUGAGCGGAACAAAGUACACGGCAAUGUACAGAGCUGGCAUGACACGGGGAAUCUCCACAAACAAGACAAUGUGAUGGUAGAACGUCGGAAACGUGCACUGCCUGCGGUCCUCUUCCGACUGAUCAAGUUUUUAAGCAAUUUUAAGCUGAAUAGAGCCAAAUCGGUGACAAACAUUGUAAAGGCGACUGGUGAACAACUCCUGAAGAAGGGACCUCGAAACUAUGCCUG